CCGCAAACCGAGGGGUGGCUAAAAGCCUGAGACGCCAAAGCCUCAUCACUGCCUAAAAACAAUGAUGAAGCGCGGGGCGAACCCUUUGAACCUGAUCCGGGCAAUACCGGCGUAGGGAUGGUUGCUGCCCGGCCU
rnacentral:ncRNA from 2 species